GUUUCCUUCAGUGGUACAUAUAUUGAAGUUGAAAUGAUACAAAAAAGAUUAGCAUGUUGCUUGCUCAAGGAUGACAGGCAAAUUUGUGAAGCAUUCGCAUUCCUU
ensembl:snRNA LOC120101962 U6 spliceosomal RNA